GACGAACGCUGGCGGCGUGCCUAAUACAUGCAAGUCGAACGCAGUGGGGACGGGUGAGUAACACGUGGGUAACCUCCCAUCAGAGGGGAUAACCCUUGGAAACAGGUGCUAAACCGAUACUGAUGGAUGGACCCGCGGUGCAUUAGCUAGUUGGUGAGGUAACGGCUCACCAAGGCCACGAUGCAUAGACGGUCGGAGAGGGUGAUCCGCCAAACUGGGACUGAGACACGGCCCAGCCUCCUACGGGAGGCAGCAGUAGGGAAUCUUCGGCAAUGGACGAAAGUCUGACCGAGCAACGCCGCGUGAGUGAAGAAGGUUUUCGGAUUGUAAAGCUCUGGUUGUAAGGAAGCGGUAACUAACCAGGAAGCCACGGCUAACUACGUGCCAGCAGCCGCGGUAAUUC
rnacentral:rRNA from 1 species